GGAGAGGUCGCCUAGUCCGGCUUAUGGCGCGCGCUUGGAAAGCGCGUAGGUGGGAAACUGCCUCGAGAGUUCAAAUCUCUCCCUCUCCGCCA
rnacentral:tRNA from 1 species